AUCUUCCAUUUUUUUAUUUUCUUUUUUCUUUUUCUUUUAUUUUUUUUCUAUUUCACAUCGAGGAUACAAAGAACGAGAUGCAUGAAAGAUUCCUUUCAACGAUGCUUCGUUCAAUUUCACGGUGGCUUCGACUCGCGAAAUAUUCGAGCUUUCACCGAACGAAACCCCUUUCUCAACGUCGAAGAUGUCGAAUAUAAUAUUCGUUUAGCUUUUCGCGAAGGGGUCAUCAUCACGUUGGCGGAGGUUAAUGUCACGGUGGUUUUCUGCGAUAUUCCAUUAAGAGGACGCCUCUCGCGUUAUCGUUCUAUUAAGCUGCCUCUUCUAUCGUGCCCUCUGACGCUCGCGAAAAGUGGUUACAAGGAGUGGGGAGAGAGCUACAGAGAGAGAGAGAGAGAGAGAGAGAGAGAGAGAGAGAGAGAGAGAGAGAGAGAGAGAGAGAGAUAGAGAGAAAGAGCUUAAUUGAUCUUAAUUUUCAAUAUUAACGUCGAUGAUGAUGGAUCGAUGACUUUCGUAAAAGCUCCAAAGUGGCCUAGUUAAGAGAGCGUGAAAUUCUUUUUUUCUUUUUUUCGUUGUACAUCGAUCGUUAGCCCUUUUUCAAAUCGAAUUCACAUCGACGAUCAAAGACGAUCAUAAAAAUUCGAAAGAGCUUGCCGCGUAAGUCGUGUAAGUAUUUGAGCAUUUAAUAAACUUCCUUACUAAUUUCUAUGGCUAUAUCCGAAACAAGGAGAGUAGUGUACGUGCCAUCGUAGUGUUUAGUCGGCGUGUUCGCGAAACGAUUCGAUUAAAGCAUCCGCUGCUUUUCGCCGGGUCCUCGUAAAUACACCGUAAUUAAAUUCCUUUUAUAGCCGGUCUAAAAUCGUGUUUCCAUUUUACAUACCUACUACUACACUACUACUACUACUACG